UACGUAGGGUGCGAGCGUUAAUCGGAAUUACUGGGCGUAAAGCGUGCGUAGGCGGUUCGUUAAGUCAGCUGUGAAAGCCCCGGGCUCAACCUGGGAAUUGCGGUUGAAACUGGCGAACUAGAAUCUGGCAGAGGGGGGUGGAAUUCCACGUGUGGCAGUGAAAUGCGUAGAGAUGUGGAGGAACACCGAUGGCGAAGGCAGCCCCCUGGGCUGAGAUUGACGCUCAGGCACGAAAGCGUGGGGAGCAAACAGG
rnacentral:rRNA from 1 species